UCCCUGGUGGUCCAGUGGUUAGGACUCUGCACUCCCACUAGCAAGGGCCCGGGUUCGAUCCCUGGUCAGGGAA